rnacentral:rRNA from 1 species
GCGGUGGAGCAUGUGGUUUAAUUCGAAGCAACGCGAAGAACCUUACCAGGCCUUGACAUGCAGAGAACUUUCCAGAGAUGGAUUGGUGCCUUCGGGAACUCUGACACAGGUGCUGCAUGGCUGUCGUCAGCUCGUGCCGUGAGGUGUCGGGUUAAGUCCCAUAACGAGCGCAACCCCUACUGCUAGUUGCCAGCGGGUCAUGCCGGGGACUCUAGCGGAACUGCCAGCGUAAGCUGCGAGGAAGGUGGGGAUGACGUCAAAUCAGCACGGCCCUUACGUCCAGGGCUACACACGUGUUACAAUGGCCAGUACAGAGGGCAGCCACCCCGCGAGGGGGCGCUAAUCCUAAAAGCUGGUCCCAGUUCGGAUCGGAGUCUGCAACCCGACUCCGUGAAGCUGGAUUCGCUAGUAAUCACGCAUCAGCCACGGCGCGGUGAAUACGUUCCCGGGCCUU